ACCGAACGCUGGCGGCAUGCCUAACACAUGCAAGUCGAACGAGACCUUCGGGUCUAGUGGCGCACGGGUGCGUAACGCGUGGGAACCUGCCCUUAGGUUCGGAAUAACUCCCCGAAAGGGGUGCUAAUACCGGAUAAUGUCUUCGGACCAAAGAUUUAUCGCCUUUGGAUGGGCCCGCGUUGGAUUAGCUAGUUGGUAAGGUAAAAGCCUACCAAGGCGACGAUCCAUAGCUGGUCUGAGAGGAUGAUCAGCCACACUGGGACUGAGACACGGCCCAGACUCCUACGGGAGGCAGCAGUGGGGAAUAUUGGACAAUGGGCGAAAGCCUGAUCCAGCAAUGCCGCGUGAGUGAUGAAGGCCUUAGGGUUGUAAAGCUCUUUUACCCGGGAUGAUAAUGACAGUACCGGGAGAAUAAGCUCCGGCUAACUCCGUG
rnacentral:rRNA from 1 species